rnacentral:rRNA from 1 species
UACACUCCUACGGGAGGCAGCAGUGGGGAAUUUUGGACAAUGGGCGAAAGCCUGAUCCAGCAAUGCCGCGUGAGUGAAGAAGGCCUUCGGGUUGUAAAGCUCUUUUGUCAGGGAAGAAACGGUGAAAGCUAAUAUCUUUUGCUAAUGACGGUACCUGAAGAAUAAGCACCGGCUAACUACGUGCCAGCAGCCGCGGUAAUACGUAGGGUGCAAGCGUUAAUCGGAAUUACUGGGCGUAAAGCGUGCGCAGGCGGUUUUGUAAGUCUGAUGUGAAAUCCCCGGGCUCAACCUGGGAAUUGCAUUGGAGACUGCAAGGCUAGAAUCUGGCAGAGGGGGGUAGAAUUCCACGUGUAGCAGUGAAAUGCGUAGAUAUGUGGAGGAACACCGAUGGCGAAGGCAGCCCCCUGGGUCAAGAUUGACGCUCAUGCACGAAAGCGUGGGGAGCAAACAGGAUUAGAAACCCGAGUAGUCCCAUGA